UACGAAGGGGACUAGCGUUGUUCGGAAUUACUGGGCGUAAAGGGCUCGUAGGCGGCCAACUAAGUCCGACGUGAAAUCCCCAGGCUUAACCUGGGAACUGCGUCGGAUACUGGAUGGCUUGAAUUCGGGAGAGGGAUGCAGAAUUCCAGGUGUAGCGGUGAAAUGCGUAGAUAUCUGGAGGAAUACCGGUGGCGAAGGCGGCAUCCUGGACCGACAUUGACGCUGAGGAGCGAAAGCCAGGGGAGCAAAGCGGG
rnacentral:rRNA from 1 species